rnacentral:misc_RNA from 1 species
AUAGAUUAAUUUAUUGGUUGUAGCUGGUCUUCGUGAGAUGACAUGUGCACACCUUUAAAACCCAUUUACCCCCUUGUGCACAUUUUGUAGACUUUGUUGUCUACGUUUUCUUACACACACUAUAAAAGUUUAGAAUGUUUGGUUUUGGCAAUAUUUAUA